GCGCCCUUAGCUCAGUUGGACAGAGCAACGACCUUCUAAGUCGUGGGUCGGAGGUUCGAAUCCUCCAGGGCGCGCCA
rnacentral:tRNA from 1 species